GAAACAACAGGGAUUGCCUCAGUAACGGCGAGUGAAGCGGCAAAAGCUCAAAUUUGAAAUCUAGCACCUUCGGUGUUCGAGUUGUAAUUUGAAGAUGGUAACCUUGGGUUUGGCUCUUGUCUAUGUUCCUUGGAACAGGACGUCAUAGAGGGUGAGAAUCCCGUCUGAUGAGAUGCCCAUUCCUAUGUAAGGUGCUAUCGAAGAGUCGAGUUGUUUGGGAAUGCAGCUCUAAGUGGGUGGUAAAUUCCAUCUAAAGCUAAAUAUUGGCGAGAGACCGAUAGCGAACAAGUACAGUGAUGGAAAGAUGAAAAGAACUUUGAAAAGAGAGUGAAAAAGUACGUGAAAUUGUUGAAAGGGAAGGGCAUUAGAUCAGACUUGGUGUUUUACGAUUAUCUUCUCUUCUUGAGUUGUGCACUCGUAUUUCACUGGGCCAGCAUCGAUUCGGAUGGCAAGAUAAUGGCAGUUGAAUGUGGCUUCACUUCGGUGGAGUGUUAUAGCUUCUGCUGAUAUUGC
rnacentral:rRNA from 1 species